rnacentral:rRNA from 1 species
GACGAACGCUGGCGGCGUGCUUAACACAUGCAAGUCGAGCGGGGAACUUCGGUUCCCAGCGGCGGACGGGUGAGUAACACGUGGGCAACCUGCCUCAUAGUGGGGAAUAGCCUUCCGAAAGGAAGAUUAAUACCGCAUAAUACUCGGAAAUCACAUGAUUUCUGAGCCAAAGGAUUUAUUCGCUAUGAGAUGGACCCGCGGCGCAUUAGCUUGUGGGUGAGGUAACGGCUCACCAAGGCUUCGAUGCGUAGCCGACCUGAGAGGGUGAUCGGCCACAUUGGAACUGAGACACGGUCCAGACUCCUACGGGAGGCAGCAGUGGGGAAUAUUGCACAAUGGGGGAAACCCUGAUGCAGCAACGCCGCGUGAGUGAUGAAGGUCUUCGGGUCGUAAAACUCUGUCUUAUGGGACGAUAAUGACGGUACCAUAGGAGGAAGCCACGGCUAACUACGUGCCAGCCGCCGCCGUAA